rnacentral:rRNA from 1 species
AUUGAACGCUGGCGGCAGGCCUAACACAUGCAAGUCGAACGGUAGCACAAAGAGCUUGCUCUUGGGUGACGAGUGGCGGACGGGUGAGUAAUGUCUGGGAAACUGCCCGAUGGAGGGGGAUAACUACUGGAAACGGUAGCUAAUACCGCAUAACGUCGCAAGACCAAAGUGGGGGACCUUCGGGCCUCACACCAUCGGAUGUGCCCAGAUGGGAUUAGCUAGUAGGUGGGGUAAUGGCUCACCUAGGCGACGAUCCCUAGCUGGUCUGAGAGGAUGACCAGCCACACUGGAACUGGGACACGGUCCAGACUCCUACGGGAGGCAGCAGUGGGGAAUAUUGCACAAUGGGCGCAAGCCUGAUGCAGCCAUGCCGCGUGUAUGAAGAAGGCCUUCGGGUUGUAAAGUACUGUCAGCGAGGAGGAAGGCAUUAAGGUUAAUAACCUUGGUGAUUGACGUUACUCGCAGAAGAAGCACCGGCUAACUCCGUGCCAGCCGCCGCGGUAA